rnacentral:lncRNA from 1 species
AAUAUUCCAAUAAUUUUUUAUAUUUUUUAUUAAAAUUAUUUCAAAUUAUUACAAUCGAACUUAAAAUUAAUAUAUAAUUAUAAAAUGUGGUAGCAAAAUAAUGAUAUUAUUAUGAAGAGUCCUAUACUCUUAUGAGUGUAGACAUUUUUUUACUCAAAAGUUUUCGACCGUUAGAUCUAUUAUUUUAUUUUUUUCACCCGUUAAAUUAUACUAUUCAACCAACUAUUCAUUCAACCCUAGAGACCACUAUCAUCCUAACCAAGAAUCAUUAUCAUCCUAGCCGCACAUCUCUUCAUCCAACAACCGAAAACUUAUGAGUAUAAAUAGGUCUUAUAUUCAUAAGAGUAUAGUAACCCUAACUUUAUUAUAGAUUUCUAGAUAAUAGAAAUAUUAAAUUAGACCUAUGUU